GGCGCCGUGGCGCAAUUGGUUAGCGCGUUCGGCUGUUAAGCCCUCAGAGGUCCACCUCUGAGAACCUAGGAACCGAGAGGUCGUAAGUUCGAGCCUUACCGGUGCCG